rnacentral:lncRNA from 1 species
UAUUUGGUAAUGAUAGGUCAUUUCUACUUUAAUGAUAAGGUUUCCAGGGGAUGACAUAUCUCCAACUCACUGCAUUUGAACUUUGGAUCAUAAGAAAUAAGAGAGAUUGCCUUGGAUCUAUGGGAAUCACUGAGGCUCCAUUAACAUGGGGUAAUUCCAUUAUAUGAUUGGCUUCUCAACAAAACCAGCCACAAUGUUCAUCUUUCCUUUUUUUUCCCCAUGUGCAACAGGAAACCCCCAACCAAUCUACAUAGGUGGUCAUGUUGGAAGUAAAACUGUAAUCUAUUUUAUGCUUAGACUUUGUUUAUAAAUAGUUUCCAUAUUUCUUCCAGUCUCUGUUUUUUAUUUGUUUGUUUUUUAAUAUUUAUAGUUGCCAAGUAAAAUAGAGAACAGCAGUGAAAUUCAAAUAUCAGUUAAGUAAUUAAUAUGCUACUGAAGUUCCUAUAUAGUUAACCAGGAAUGCUUGCUUACAUUGCUCAGAAAUGUUUAUAUAGGUUUCAAUUUUAAAUGGAUACACUCCCUGUUGCUUCUUUAAAUCUGGCAACAGUAUACAUAAUUCCUCCCAAUGUUUUCAGCCGGGCUGCUGUGAGCUCUGAGAUGGUCAUUCUCCAAUAUUUUUAAGACAAAUCAUAAAAUCUGAAGAAAUAUUGUUUCAUGAAGAAAAUAUUGUUUCACACUAAGUGAUUUUCAAGAAUCAUCUCAAAGUCAUUUAAAUAAUCAAAAGAGUAUCUUCAUUAGAUGAAUGCUGCCAAACUUAAAUUUUUCUUAUAAUGGCAUGUUGGAGGUCUAGACUCUGGCUAUUAUUUCUGGAAAUAGUAUUCUCCAGCUAUUGAGACAACCAAAAACACAGCAUAUGUUAAAAGCUGUUCUUGGAAAGUGAGCGUACCUUCUAAGGCAAGACCAGAACCUGUUCUAGAAUUCAGUGUGUUUUCCUAUGAGAGAGUAAUCAAAUGAAUCCAUCAUGCCAAUCCCUAUCAGUCAUACCUCAAAUUUAUUUUAUUAAUUACAAGAAGUCAUCUAAGUGACUGUAGAAUAUUUGACAAAAGGAACUCUUCAGUGAGAGAGAAGAGAAUCUAGAGUAAAUGCAGUCUAGUCCUGAAAGCUUCUCCCCACAGUAGAGGAUGAUGCUUGGUCCUUGAGAGAAAGCCCAUGACAGAGAAUUGCCGAAACAGAUUGUAUUGAGCAAUUGGUUUUCAGGAACUGAAACUGAAGAACCCCUCUGAUAUGAAUUAAGAGAUCUAAAUCUGGUACCUAGGUUAUCUUUCAAAGACUGAAACCAUGCUGGAAUUCCUAAAUUAAUACCCAGUGUUUUGAACACCAAGUCCUUCCUAGGGUGAACAUGGACAGAGUUCUAAAAAAAAAAUUAUGGUAGCUACCUCUUCUUUUGAAAUGCCUAGGAGGAAAAAUAGGAACACUCAAAUCUCAUAAUGUUUUUCCAUAUCAUGAUUGUUGCCUACACAUAUUUGUGUUGAUUUGCUUCAUUUAUGGAGAAAAAGAAUGUGUAGAGCUGGUGAUGUUUCAUUCACUGACCCCAGGAGUUCACCAGAGGAAGUCAGAUCUGUGCCUUCUCUUUUUAGGAUUUGUUCAUUGAUACUUUAGUAAAUGUGCUGUAAUGAAAAUUCAUGCCUAUAUAGUCUGUAUAGAAAAUGUGAUUUUUUUAUAGAUAUAAAAUUGUGUUCUAAAUGUUAAAAAACAAAAGUUUAUUUGUAGCUAGUGAAAUUGCCUAAUAAAGUCCUGGAACCUG